UACGUAGGGUGCAAGCGUUGUCCGGAAUUAUUGGGCGUAAAGAGCUCGUAGGCGGUCUGUCGCGUUCGGCUGUGAAAACUCGGGGCUCAACCCCGAGCCUGCAGUCGAUACGGGCAGACUAGAGUGCUGUAGGGAGACUGGAAUUCCUGGUGUAGCGGUGAAAUGCGCAGAUAUCAGGAGGAACAGCCGGUGGCGAAGGCGGGUCUCUGGGCAGUAACUGACGCUGAGGAGCGAAAGCGUGGGAGC
rnacentral:rRNA from 1 species